UUCAUAUAGAAAAAGUUGGUCCUUCACCUUAUUCAUUUCUCCCUCUAUGGCAACUCAACAACUUGAGUCCAAAUGGGAAGGCAAAUCCAUUGCAAAUCUAAAACAUCCAAAAGCAGAACAAGUAUGGCCACUCCUUGAAGAUUUCUUCAACUUCCACAAUUGGCUACCAAACAUAGACACGUGUCACCAAAUGAAUAGUGAUAAUAAAGAUGAAAUUAUCCGCUAUUGCGCUAGCAGUACCAAGUCCCCAUCGUCAUCAGACGAUGGAGAAGCGAUCGUCAAGUGGUGUCACGAGAAGUUGUUGACAGUCGAUAAGAUAGAGCGAUAUCUAAGCUAUGAGGUCUUAGACAAUAAUAUUGGGAUCAAGUCUUAUGUAUCUACGUUGAAAGUAUUGUCAUCGGAUGGUGAUGAUGAGAGCGGGUGCCAGAUCGAAUGGUCGUUCGUUGCUGAUCCGAUUGAUGGGUUGACUUUGGAAUUAUUUUCGGGUUAUAUUGACUCAUCCCUACAAGGCAUGGCUGAAAAUAUUGAGAAAGCUUUAGAAUCGUCUAAGUUAGGUGAUUUUGCGAGUUCUAAUUAGCAAGCCUGUUAAAUAUGAUGUGUGAUUGAAGGGAUGAGAUUGGAGGAUUUGGUCAACAAGUCAGAAGUUCAGAAGUUUUUUAUUUAGGAAGGAGAAUGGAAAGGAGAAAAUCGAACUCUUACCAAUAAGGUGAGAGUUCUGUAGUUAGUAAUUGAAUUACUAAGAUUCUCCAUUCAAAAGUUUUUUUAUUUCCUAGGUCAUAUGAAUUCAACUUAAUGAAUUCACCAGACACAAUUAAUAGAAAUCAUGUAGCAUUACAUUUAAAUUUUGGAGGACUUGCAGCUUUCAGAUAAUUUUAUUUGCACUUUUUUUAAUUUGAUAAAAAAUAUUUAUUUAUAUUAGUUACAAAGCAUUGGAAAUAUUGGUAAAGCCAAAUUUCUGCAUUUUAAUUAGUUAGUUUCUUGCUAUUAUUAUUUCUAGAAACACUGAAAAAAGUCUAUAUUAAAAUUUUAAAACAAAACUAACAUGGAAAAAAAUGACGGAUCUUGAUUAAUGAUUAAAUUAAAUAAGUUCAUUAAAAUAAUAAGUGGAUUGAGUACCAUGUCACCAUUAAAAUCAAUGGAUAAGUCAUCAAGACACAAGACUUUACCAGGCAAAAUUGAACAAAAAAAUCGUCAUUAACAAAAGUCAUGUUAAUACAGCAAACCUUGAAGAUCAAUAAUAUCUCUUUUUGUUUUUAAAAAAAGAAAGAAGUUAAUCUAGCCAGAUGGUGGAAUUUUUAUGUAAAAAUUACAUAAAUUAUUUCAUAGUGUUAAGAGCUAAUUACAUCCUAGCUCUAUUCUUUAAAUUACAAAAAUCCCUUAAAUUUAUAGGACAUCAAAUACAUCAAAAAACAAGUGGAUUCAUAGUUCACAGAUUGCAAAUAAUAUAUUAAUUAAUGAAAUGAAUAUAUUCGAAAGAGAAUAGAGAUGUAUCAAAGAAAUUUUUUUGAAAAACUUUUUUAAAUAAGAUGUGUAUUUAUAUAAUAUUUCAUAUCAAAAAGCAAGUGGCCCAAAUGGCCAAGUCCAACAAGAAGCGACUAAAUUGAGCUUGAGUUUCCUAGAGGCGAUAUGUAUCUAUUUUUGACCAUAGAAGUAGGGGUGACAAAUGGUUGGAUUAGAUCGGAUUUGGAUAGAUUAAAUAUGGUUUGAGCAAAAAUAGUUUGAAUUACAAUCCACCCAUAUAGAAUAUGGGUAAAUAUGGAUUUGGUCAAAUAUGAUUUGGAUAAAAUGGUUCUAAUCCAUUUUUAAAAAAAUAAAAAUUACCCCCUCCCCCGGGCAACCCCCACCUUCCACCAACUGACCCCUAAAUUUUUUUGUUUUCCAAAAACAAAUGUUUUUUUUUAAAAAAAAACAUUUGUUUUUGGAAAACAAAAAAAAUUAGGGUAGGUUGGUGGAGGGGCUCCCUGGGGGGUGGGGGGUGCCGGGGGACGGGAAUUUUUUUUUUGUUUUGAAAAACCAGAUUUUUUUUUGUUCACCAAAAACAAAAAAAAAUCUGGUUUUUCAAAACAAAAAAAAAAUUCCCGUCCCCCGGCACCCCCCACCCCCCAGGGAGCCCCUCCACCAACCUACCCUAAUUUUUUUUGUUUUCCAAAAACAAAAAAAAAUAUGUUUUUUCAAUUAAGUUUGAGUGGAAGUGAAAACUAAGUGAUUUAUUAUGGGUCAAUAUGGAUACUCAUAUUUAAUCCAUUUUGACCAUAUUUGUAGAGACUUUUAAAAUUGCUUGAAGCCCAUAUUUAACCAAUUAAAAUAGAGCAACUUUCACAUAUAGCAAAUACAAAAUUCAUAUUUGUAUACUAUAGCAAAGUUUGCAUAAUUGCGUUCCAUAGCAAACAUAUAUAUGUAUAAUUCGCUAUACAUAUACAAAAAAAAACAGUUGUAUAAUCUGCUUUGGUAUACAUAUACAAAAAGAUCAAUUGUAUAAAGUGAGAGAGGCGAGAUCUGGGAGAGUGAGUGAGCAAGAUCUGGGAGAGUGGCGAGCGAGAUCUGAGAGAGAGGAGAGAAGGGAACGAAAAUAUAUGUAUAUAUACAAUUUUCACACAUUUUAUACAUUUGCGUUUUUGUAUAAAGUGAGAGAGGCGAGUGAGAGAGCGAGAUAUGGGAGAGUGGCNNNNNNNNNNNNNNNNNNNNNNNNNNNNNNNNNNNNNNNNNNNNNNNNNNNNNNNNNNNNNNNNNNNNNNNNNNNNNNNNNNNNNNNNNNNNNNNNNNNNNNNNNNNNNNNNNNNNNNNNNNNNNNNNNNNNNNNNNNNNNNNNNNNNNNNNNNNNNNNNNNNNNNNNNNNNNNNNNNNNNNNNNNNNNNNNNNNNNNNNNNNNNNNNNNNNNNNNNNNNNNNNNNNNNNNNNNNNNNNNNNNNNNNNNNNNNNUAAUUAUAAGUGUAUAGGACGAAUAUAUAUGUAUUUGCAUGUGUAUAUACAAUUUUCUCUCGCUUUAUACAAACACAAACGCACUUUAUACACUUGCGUUUGUAUAAAAAACGAGAGAGGCGAGGGAGAGAACGAGAGUGGCGAGCGAGAUUCACCAGGAGAGAGGUGAAAUAGCAACAGUUUGCUAUGAGGUACAAUUAAAUCAAACUAUAUUUAUAGCAUUUAAUUUGAAUUAAUAGUUUGCUAUUAUAUACAAUUUUCCCAUUAAAAUAUGAGGUCAUUAAAUAUGAACAAAAUGGACUCAUUUCAUUAAUAUGAGCUGAAAUUGCCACCCCUACUUAGAAGUACCUUUGUGCAUAGAUUUGUUUUAUAUGCAUUAUGUAUAACAUGAGAUAAAUUGAUAGAUUGAUAUUACUAUUUUAUCAUAGUUGUUAUUAACUUAUUUUCUCAGUUCAUUUUUGUUUAUCCACUUUGAAUUUUAUAUAUUCUUUAAAAAUAAUAAUUAAUAUAAGUAUUUUAUCGUAAUAGGUCAUACAAAUAUUUUAGAAAAUAACAAUUAGUGUCAAGGAUAAAACAUGAAAUAAAUUUGUCUUUUUAUUAUAUGUGACAAAUAAAAGUAAUAUUUUUAAAAAUUAUUGUACAAGUGAAAAUGAACUGAGGAGUAUUAGAUGGAAAAUGGAUCAAGUUAAGUGGAAAUAGAAGGGACUUUAAGGAAAUGUUUUGGGGUGAAAUAUAGCUAAAUAACCAAUCUAGCUAUAUUUCGAGAUCAAGUGGUGGAUUCAAAGUUGAUAGGCUCAGUUGAACCAAUUGAAAUUCUAGAUCCAUCUUAGUUAAUAAGAGAUCGUUAAUGCAACAGAAAAAUAUCCCCCUCUCUCUAUCUUUGAUUUAUACAUAAAGGCUAAAUUCAUUAAAAUAAACAAAUCCAUCUCCUUCGUAGAGGCAUAUCCAGGAUUUCAACAAGAUUUUGUGCACGAUUACGAAAAAAUGUAUCUUAAAUAUAAAUUUGAUCGAUUUGACUUUUAGGUUCUUAAUAUGAAUCAUUAAAUUUUAAAAAUUAUAGAUCCAAAAUAUAUAAUACUACUAGUUUUAAACUUUAGGCAUUGUACAAGGGAAUGUGAUCUACAACAACAACAACAACAUACCCAGUGAAAUCCCACUAGGUGGGGUCUGGGGAGGGUAGAGUGUACGCAGACCCUACCACUACCUCGUGAAGGUAGAGAGGCUGUUUCCGGGAGACCCUCAGCUCAAGAACAUCAAAUCUAAGUGACAGGAGAGCUAUAUAUAAAACAUAACAACCAAUCCAAAAGAUAGUGUAUAAUCAACAAAAGAUACAAUACCAUCAAGAAAGUAAUGUGAGGAGUGAAACGCAGUAAACAACAAUACGGCUAGGACUACUCCAAAACGCUAACACCCAUACCCUCGCGAGGGACGGCAACACGCUAACCCUACUAACCUUCCACCUUAAUACGCGACCUCCACUCCUUCCUAUCUAGAGUCAUGUCCUCGGUAAUGUGAAGCCUAGCCAAGUCUUGUCUAAUCACCUCUUCCCAAUACUUCUUGGGCCUACCUCUACCCCUCCGCGUACCCUCUACCACUAUUUCCUCGCACCUCCUCACUGGGGCGUCUGCGCUCCGUCUCUUCACAUGUCCAAACCAUCUCAGUCUCGCUUCCCUCAGCUUGUCCACCACAGAGGCCACUCCCACCUUCUCCCGGAUAACCUCAUUCCUAAUCUUGUCGCUCCUAGUGUGCCCACACAUCCAUCUCAACAUCCUCAUCUCCGCAACAUGCAUUUUUUGGACAUGUGCGUUCUUGACUGGCCAACACUCCGCUCCAUACAACAAGGCCGGUCUAACUACCACUCUGUAGAACUUACCUUUAAGUUUAGGCGGGAUUUUCUUAUCACCCAGUACUCCAGAGGCAAGCCUCCAUUUCAUCCAAGCAACCCCAAUGCGAUGUGUGACAUCAUCGUCGAUGUCACCACUCCCUUGGAUUACAGCCCCAAGAUACUUAAAACUUUCCUUCUUAGGAAUGAUCUGUGCGUCGAGUCUCACUUCCACAUCUGUCUCAUCCAACACAUCACUAAAUUUGCACCCCAAAUAUUCUGUUUUGGUCCUACUCAACCUGAAACCUUUGGACUCCAGCGUUUGUCUCCACACCUCCAACUGCGCAUUAACUCUAUCCUGCGUCUCAUCAAUCAGUACUAUGUCAUCCGCAAAUAACAUACACCAUGGGACCCUUUCCUGAAUAGACCGCGUCAGCUCAUCCAUCACCAAGGCAAAAGGGAGAAGGCUUAGGACUGAUCCCUGGUGCAGCCUUAUCUCAACUGGGAAAUGUUCUGAGUCUCCUCCAAUUGUUCUAACCCGAGUCUUGGCUCCGCCGUUCAUGUCCUUUAUCAUGUGAUCUACAUGACAUGAAAUCAUCAGGGGCGUUUUUUACAUGGAACAAUAAAACGGAUGGGACUGAUAGAGUACAAAGAAAAAUAGAUAGAGUAUUGAUUAACACUGAAUGGUUGACACAAAUGCCAGCAGCGGAGGUACAUUUCAUGACUGAGGGGCUAUAUGACCAUUGUCCAGCAAUAAUUAGAUGGGAACAAGGGAGCAGAGGAGGAAGAAGGCAAUUCAGAUAUUUCAAUAUGUGGAGUCUAGCACCAGAGUUCAAAAUGAAGGUGCAGGAAAAUUGGGAAAAAAUAAGUGAAGGUAGACACAUGUUCAAGGUUGUAGGGAAACUAAAUAGGUUGAGAAAGGUGCUUAAAACACUGAACAGAAACAGGUUUAGUGAAAUGGAAACAAGAGCAGAUUUGGCCAUAGAGAAAUUGAGACAAUGCCAAGACAUGAUUCAGUUAAACCCUCUGGAUAUGGACCUUUACAUGGAGGAGAAUAAGCUAUCACAGGAGGCAAGGCUACUUGAAAAGGCAAAGUUUCAGUUCUUGAGACAAAAGAGCAAAAUGCAAUGGCUUAAAGAAGGAGAUCAGAACACGAAGUUCAUUCAUAACUAUCUCAAAGCAAGGAGGAGCAAUAAUAGGAUUUUCACAAUAAAAGAUACUAAUGGGGUGCAACACACAGCGAUUGACGAUGUAAGUAAGGUGUUUGUGGACUAUUAUACAGGCUUAUUGGGGGGCAAAGAAUCAUAGCAGAAAACAUGUAUGCAGUGAUAUAAUUCAACAAGGCACAUUGGUGAAUGAAGCACAAAGAGAUGAACUAACAAGAGAGUUUACAAAGGAAGAAGUGAAACAAGCACUAUGGGCCAUAGAUGGGAACAAGUCACCAGGACUUGAUGGGUACGGUAGUAAGUUUUUCAAGGACUGCUGGGGUAUAGUUGGAGAAGAUGUUACUAAAGGGAUACUAGAAUACUUCCAAAAUGGAGAAAUGCUAAGAGGGGUGAAUGACACAGUAAUCACAUUGAUACCAAAAGGUGUGCAUAUGGAGAAUGUGACUUGCUUGCUGCAACACUGUGUAUAAGGUGAUAUCGAAAAUGCUUUGCAAUAGACUGAAACAUGUACUGCCGACAAUCAUAUCAGACAACCAAAGUGCUUUUGUUACUGGAAGAACAAUAGUCCAAAACAUCCUCAUUUGUCAAGAUUUGAUGAGAUUGUAUAACAGGAAGAAUGCCACAAAAAACUGCCUACUUAAGAUUGAUUUUAGGAAAGCAUAUGACAGUGUUGAAUGGGAUUUUGUAGAAGAAAUGUUAUACGGAUUACAGUUCUCGUACAAGUUCAUUAAGUGGAUAAUGGGAUGCAUAACCACAACUCAGUUUGUGAUUGCUAUAAAUAGAGGGUUGUAUGGAAACACAAAAGGAAGAAGAGGACUACGACAAGAGGAUCCCAUAACCCCCCUCCUCUUUGUAAUAUGCAUGGAGUACUUUUAGGCUGAUGAAAUGGAUUGCUACAUAGGAUGGAUUCCAGUUCCACCCAAAAUGCAGAAGCUUGGGACUGAAUCAUUUAUGCUUUGCUGAUGAUAUGCUACUGUUCUGUAAAGGGGAAUUCGGCUCAAUCAAAUUUAUGCUACAAGGACUGUUAACGUUUUCAGAAGCGUCGGGGUUAACUACUAAUGCAGGCAAGUCAAACAUCUUCACUGCUAAUAUGGAUAUGAGGAGCAUUAAAGACAUUUGUGAACUAACUGGGUAUGCAAAAGGAACAUUACCUUUUAAAUACUUGGGGUUCCCAUAUCAUCCAAGAAGCUUACAACAGUAGAUUGUGAAAUAUUAGUGGACAAACUGGUGAGCAGAAUCCACAUAUGGGGGACAAGGAACCUAUCGUAUGCGAGAAUAACACAAUUGGUAAACUCAGUACUAUUGCAUAUACAUACGUACUGGUCGUCCAUUUUCCUGCUACCUAAGAAAGUGUUAAAGAAUACUACAUCAGUAUGUAGGAAUUUUCUAUGGAGUGGACAAGGGAACACCUUAAAAUCACCACUCAUAGCUUGGAAGGAAGUAUGCAGGAAUAAAAAGGAAGGAGGAUUGGGCAUAAUGGAGUGUAUGACAUGGAAUGAAACAGCCAUAGCAAAGAAGGCUGAUAACCUACGGGUAAAAUGGGUGAACCAGAUAUAUUUGAAAGGAAGUGACUGGUGGCAAUAUCGACCAACGGCUGAUAGUUGCUGGUACUGGAGGAAAAUAUGCAUUAUCAAAGAAAAGUUCGCACCUGGAUAUGAUGGGAACAACUGGGCACCAAACAAAGGAGGUUACACGACCCAAAGUAGAUACCAAUGGAGAAGAGGAACUGUUAAUCAAUGGCCUAGUAGAGGGAGGCAUGGAAUAGAAUGAAUGUGCCAAAACAUAGCUUUAUAUGCUGGAUUGUCAUGCAUAGAAGACUAUUAACCAGACUUGCAAAAAUGGGAAUUUGUCAGGAUAAAGAGUGCUUAUUGUGUGGAAGCAACCUAGAAAGUAUUGAUCAUUUGUUCUUUGAGUGUGAAUUUUCAAAGGAAUGCUUGAAAAGGGGUACUUGAUUGGUUGAAGAUAGGAAUCAACAAAACAAACAUUGAAGGGAGCUGGAGGUGAGUAACAAGAAAAGCUAAAGGGAGGUAUCACAGAUCAUUAAUCAAAUCAGUAUUGGCUGCACUAAUAUAUCAUAUAUGGCGCGCGUGGAAUGGGGCCUUGUGGAACAAAGCAGUAACAAGACCUGCAACAAUACAGAAGAUGAUCAAAGAGGAGACCAGAAGCAGGACAAGUGGAGUCACCUGUAACAUCUCGCAAACUGAAAUAACUAGGAAGAAGCUAAGAACUGGAAAUAGUCAUUUUUGGAAAGAAUGAAAAUCUGGAAAUUUUGUUAAGUUAGGGAAAGUUGAGUUUUUGAUCAACUUCAAAAUUAUCAUAACUCCUAGAUCAGGAUGGGUUAGGUGUACUUCCAGAUAUGGUGCGAAAGCUCUUGGAAUAAUCUUUCCAACGCCGCCAAGUUUGCGAGAUUCCGAGUUCGUAUGAGUGAGUUAUGCCUAUUGGAAGUUGGGUUGUUCGAAUAAGGAAAGUCCAAUCCGGAUUUUUAAAGGGUGUUUUGGUCUUUUUCAUACCCUAUUAUUUUAAUUCAUUUUUAGUGAAUUAAUUAAAGGUCAAAAGAGAGAAGAACGCAAGAGAAAGGAGAAGAGAAAAGCAAGAUUCUUCGUUUCGUAAGGAAUUGAUUGCGGGUUUCUUCAAGGAUUUGAUCCUACAAGGUAUGUGAGGCUUUCAUAACGUUAGGCUCAUUCACCCACGUGCCAAACAUGUUUAUUUCAACAUGAAUUCGUCCUAAAAGAGUUUGAAAGUUGAUGUUCUUGAUAUGUAUUCUUGAAUUUGAUAUUGUUCUUGAGUUGGGCUGAAAUUGUGAAGUUUCUGAGCUCAUUACGUCAAAUUAUUGAGUUGGCUGGAGUUAGGUUCUUAGGUACAAUUUCAGGGUAUCUGUAUCUAAAAAGAAUUUGGAAAAAAGAACCGAGUUUGGGCGAAUUGGGGCUGGAAAACGAAGAAAAAAAUUUAGUCGGGCAAAUCUGGGCACUGGCUCCGCGUCGCGGACCUGCUCCUCAUAUUUGAGAAAAAUCUCUUCGCGGAGCGGAGCGGUCAGGAACUGUUCUGCCUCAAAAGUUAUUCUCGCAACCAAAAUUUCAAUACAUCUCCAUGUCGCGGACCUACCCUCAGAUAGUAUCUUUUCUCAUGUUUAGCUAUCUAAAAACACUCCUAAACAUCAUGAGAUAUUUCCUAUCACAAAUCACGAUCCUUGAAUUCAUAAUUCAAUUCAAGGAAAGUUAAGAGUCAAGAAGCAAGUCAAGAGAAGUUCAUUAAAGUUUUUCAAAAGUCUUUCACAAACGUUUUAACUUUGUUCUAAGACUUAAGUUUUAAGUUAAGCAAAGAGUAAAGAGUUGAGUUCAUUUCUCCAAAAGUUAUAAGGGAACUAAGUAUUCCCAAGAGUUUAAAAUAUUUUCACACUUGAACAAGAAAGGGAACAUCGAUUCCAACAGAGCUUUUAAGCUAAGUUUUGAGUAAUUAUCUCAACCAAAGAAAGAAGUUUGUUUUAAAAACAUAUGAGCUAAGUAUAUUUUGGGAGUAGUAUUGAGCACCAAUAUGGGGAUGUGAGUUCAUAUUAACUCAAGUCUCCAUAAACCAUGUCACCAUCAUGGGUAGUAAAUGAUCAUACUUUUUAUAUGACUCCUUAAGAUGCUUUUAGCAUAGACUAGUGGAUCCACUUAGUUAAGGCGUUCUAUAUGACGGCAAAGUACAGGACAGUUCUGGCAGCGUGGGCAAGACGAUGUAUCACCACUUAGGCUCAUAGUGGUGGUUGUCGGUUAGAGAAACUCCCACAAAAACUAUAUUACUUUAUUAUAUGAGUAAAGUUGAGUGUUAUUGCAUUUUCUUUAACGAACUAAGUUGCUUUUACUGUUGUAUAAAACUUUUCAUAUAUUGCAUGUGUCUUAUUGCUUUAUUAUGAGUUGAGUUGUUCAUGAGUUGAGAAGAGCUUACACUGUAUUUUGAGUUGAGUUAUUCAUGAGUUGAGUAAAGCCAUGGUAAGUGAUCCUUUCAAAUCCUUUUCAUGCUUAAGUUGUGUUUAGCAUUCCAACUCGCAUACUUGUACAUUCAAUGUACUGAUGCCAGUUGGCCUGUAUCAUCUUAUGAUGCAGACGCAGGUAACCAGGAUCAGCAUCCAGCGCCUUGUUGAUCAGGAUGAGCACUCAGAGUCAGUUGGUGAGCCUUAUUGCAUUCUGGAGGACUCUUUUAUUAUUUGCUUUCUAGUUUUCAGUUGUUAGGAUGAUCGGGGGUCCUGUCCCGACAUCCCUCUUUAUUUUAGAAGCUUCAUAGACAAUUAGUAGUUCUGUUGUCUUUACAUUAUCAUUUCAUAUGUUAAGACUUGAGUUGCCAUUUUGGCCAAGUUGAAUGUGGAGUUUUAAACAUUCUAAGUUAUUUUAUUUAACAAUUGAGUAAGUGCAUUUGAUCAUUGUAAUAAUGCUUAGAAUCUUCCGCUUAGUAAGUAAGCCAGGCCAAAGGUUCGCUUGGGGCAAGCAAUGGUUCUCAAGUGUCAGCCACGUCCGAGGUGUAGGCUCGGGGCGUGACAUCACCCAAAAGAAAUGCAAUAGUAUAUAUAUGGCAUGGAUAGAUAAUUUGUUUAAUUGAUGUAGAUAAUUCACCUGAUCAUAGGAGCAAAUAGAGUAUAGAGGAGGAAACUGAUGAAAGAUUGUAAUUGAAACAGGUUGGAAUUUUAAUAAAAGCUGUUAGUUCGACCAAAAAAGUUAUAAAUUUUAAUAUACACAUUUGAUUUAAUUAUGUAAAAAAUUUAUAGUGCUAAAUUUUCUAGGAUUUUUCGAUGUAACACACUUGAAAAUUUAAGGGAAAAAACAAAAGAAAAUUAGUUGAAACGCUAAAAGUAUAACCGAUAACCACUUGGAGAGAUGUUACUAAAAAACAGAAGAUAGAUAUAAGAUUUAAAUUUCUAUCCUCACUUAGAGAGGUACACCCAAUCAUCAUCAUAUUAUUAUAUGAUACUUUAAAUAUGAGUUCACACAUUUAUAUUUAAAUAUUUUUUUAAAAUAUAACACUAUUAUAUAUGAUCUAGAGAUGGGAGCAUGGGUUCACGUGAACCCACAAGUCACAACACCCCUCUAGAUACGCCCUCCUUGGAUUUCAGAAGUGAAGGUCAAAGGUUUGUCAUGUGAGACUUGUGAAGCAAAUGUAUAUGUGGAUUCCUCCUCUCAAAGUACUCCAUUCAUUUUUAGUUGUCAGAAUUUUAUUUGUGAGAGUUAAAUAAUAUAAAUUUUGAUUAACAUUUUAAGAUGUAUUUUUUUAUCAUAUUAAUAUAGAAAAAAGUUGCAAUUUAUAGUAUUUUUUGUAUAGUUCUUGAAUAUCUAAAAUUUAAUUUUAAUUAUCGAAUUAAUGUAAUCUAAUUUAGAUUUGAAAAUUAGUCAAAUUGACUCUCGAAAAAAGCAAGAUGACAAUUUAAAAGAAACGGGGGGGGGGGGGGGGAGUAUUAUUUAUUUUAUUUUUUUCUCAUAAAAUAACAGCUCAUGCUUCCUCAGUUCAUUUUUACUUAUUGAAUUUAAAUUUUGCGUAUAUUUUAAUAAAUAAUAAUUAAUAUAAGUAAUUUAUGUUAAUACUUAUAUUAAUUGAUAUAUAAUCUUACGUCUUAAAAAAUAAUAUUAAAAUAAAUAAUUAAUACUAAUNNNNNNNNNNNNNNNNNNNNNNNNNNNNNNNNNNNNNNNNNNNNNNNNNNNNNNNNNNNNNNNNNNNNNNCGAACCCACUCAACACAAGAAAAAAAAAACACUUUCAGGAUACAAUAUACUUCUAUGACUUGCAUUAGUCACAUCUGAUUAUAAUAACAAAAUACCAAUAACAUUAUCCACCAUAGUUCCAUAAGUAAAGUAUUUAUAUAACUAAUAAUUACUAUUUGGUAUUAUCAUAAGAAAAGUCAUGCAUUCCCUUUUGUCCGUUUUGAUGUCUGUAAUAUUAAAAAUAGAUGUUUAUUUUUAUUUAUUUAAUUUGAAAAAAAAAUUAAGAGAUAAUUUAUUAUUUAUUUCUAAAUUAUCUUAAUUAUUAUCUAUAGUCAUUUUCUAAAACACUAAAUUUAUUAUAUUCAAAAGGUGAUAUAGUAAAUUUAUCAUUUCGUCAAUUACACUUUUUAAAGGCUCAAUCAAAUCAAAUAUGAUUAACUAAAAAUAAAGGGAAAAUAUGAUUUCCUUUUGCACUCCCUUGAGAUUUGUUUUUUACUAAAUUAUCCUUGUUUAUUUUUUUAUCUCAAUGAGGUACUAUUAUCUUUUCACCAUACAUUAAUUAAUAUCUCUAAUAAAUAGAGUCACAAGGAAUAGCAAUCGUUCGAGCGGGUCGCGCUAAAGAAUAAUUAUCACUACCUCUGCUCGGUAUAAUUUGUCCCAGUAAUAACAUGUGUUUAGAUCAUUAAAUACAAUAAAGGAUUUGCGAUUCACAUUCUAGUUGUUGCGCAACAUCAACAAAGAUGACCCAGUAGGAGUAUUCAUAGGCGAUCCUUACUAAUAAAGUAAAAAUUCAGAUAAAAAAUCAACUGAAUUAUUAUGAUGCACGAGCUCAUGUUAUGCAUUAAUUAAGUCUUUUGAACAAGCACUAUUGAAAUUUGGGUCACGCAAAAAAUAAUAAUCUUACCCCAUAUUUUUCUUCAAAAUGUAAAUUUGGAUUUUUGCAUUAUUAGUAGUUACACAUGAGACAUGACGAAGGUUAUCAAAUCCAAAUUUCAUAUAUAUAUAAUUACUCUUUACAUUAUUAGGGAGUUUGUCUAACCGAUAACCAUCACUAUGAGUCUUGUGAUGAUACAACGUCUUAUCACGUUGCCAGAGUCGCAUUAUUCCUUGUCGGAGUAUAGAACACAACUAAACUGAUGGAUCCACUAAAAAGCCUUCUUGAGGCAGGUGGGUAGUCGUCCGUCUUGCGGCACGAUCCUAUCUACGUUGGGGACGUAGGUUAUAGAGUUUGAGUUAUCUUAACUUUUAUCCAAAAUCGAUGCUCAAUACUACACCCAAAAAUAUAAUAUUGUAUGCUCAUAUAAAAGUACUCUCUGGAUUGAGUCAUAGGCCUCUUUUGAGAGAUAACUGAAGUUGUACUACUUCUAGGGGUGUGCAAAAACCGAUUUAACCAAUAAACCGAACCAAAAAAAACACUAUUGGUUUAUUGAUAUUGGGUUAUUGGGCUAACGGUUUUUAAACGGUUUUGCAAAAAAAUUUAUUGGGUUAUUGGUUCGGUUUCCGGUUUUAUAAUUUUUGUUAAUGGUUAAACCGAUAACCCAAUAAGACUAUACUAAAUUUACUAGUCUUAUUGUUAAUGGUUAAACGAUUGUUACUUUCACACUUUUUCCUUUGAAUGUGUCUAGUGUCUAAACUUGCAAGAAAAAUUAUUGUUAUUUUUAUAAUUAUUACUUUCAUGCCAAAUGCUGGAAAAAUCAUAUGGUUUAUUUGAAAAUUUUCUUAUCGUGUAUAUAAUAUAUAUGAGUAUUUUCUUAUUGGUUAAACCGAAAACCGAACCGUUAAGUACCACAAACCGAUUAACCAAAACCGAUAAGAAAUAUGUUAUUGGUUUGGUUAUCGGUUUGACGUAUUUACAAACCGAUAAACCGAACCAAUAACACCUAAAACCGAACCGAACCGACCGAUGCGCACCCCUAACUACUUCUGUCUGAAAACUCUUUAUACUUUUCUAAAAAUAGUACUCUAUUUUCAAUUAUAAAAAUAAUACAUUUGGAACCAUCUAAGUUCCCUUAAACUUUUAUGAAAAUGAUUUUUUAAAACUAUCUCUUAGACUCACUUGAAUCAUCAAAAAAAUCUUUUGGUAAGAAACUCAAUAUAUAUAGAGUUCAUGUGGAACUACAAGCAUGAACGACAAUUCAAGAAUCUCCAAGCAAAAAAUAUUGUGAAUCUCGUAAUGUAAAGAUUCAAAACUCAAAACAAGAUCAUAAGACAUCUUCUAGAAUCUCAUAAAUUGAGGGCAGAACUCUAGAUUCGACUUGCUACUGACUAAAUUGAGAUAUAGGGCGUGCAGACGAACUAGUCCAACACUAUGAAUAGCCUCACAUACCUGAGAAGAUGAGGCUGACUUGAAACCUUAAAUUGAUUGCUUCUCUUUGAGAGAAUAUAGAACGCGUGUAUUUGACUUGUCUAAGGGUUGAGCGUGAACGGGGAGAUUAGUAGGGCUUGAGAUCGACUUAGGAAAGUUAAUUGAGGGUAAAAGGUCAAGAAUACCCUUCUGGGAAUGUAAGAGGACCAUAAAAAUCAUUAAAAAAACUACCUUUUAAUAAGUCCCGUCGAUCAAAACGGUAGUCUGGAGGCCUCCUCGUCGAAAAUACUUGGUUGAUCGCCCAUUGGGAAUUUAGAUCGCCCAAAUAGACAGAAGCUUAACAUUUUCGGGACAUUUCGGCGAGCUAACUCAGCGAUUCUCCAACCUAUUCGGCAGAUCGCCAAUUGGACAAGUGAGUUCGCCUACUUUUUCAGCCCGGGCAUGUUCCAGUAAAACGAUCAUAAUUUUUUACUCUGAACUCGAAAUAAGGCAAACUUGAUGACAUUGGAAAGAAGACUCAUAGACCUUUAAUUUGAUAUGUCAUGGCCACCUAGUUCAUUAUGUUCCGAGAGAUAUGAUUGUAUAAAGUUGACCUAAGUAGAAUCUUAUGUAAAACUUAAUUGGUAAGAAAGCUUUCAACUCAACUUUGUGCCAAGGGAUUUGUAAUGACCCUUCUGGUCAUUUCUGUGUUUUGCCUUCUAUGUGUCGUUUAGAGCGUUCUUGUAGCGACCCCAAGUCAUUUAUGACUUGCUAGGACUGACAGUUCGGUCACCUGGUCGUUCGUUUAGUCUUUGUGCGAGUUUUAGUGUUUUUGGAGCUUAUGAACCUUGACGAUCAUUUUCGAUCAAAAGUUCAAGAAGAUGACAUCGGAAUCCAAUUCUGAUGAUUCCAUCAGCUCCGGAAGGGUCAUAUUAGGCUAGUAGCAUGGUCGGCAUGACUCCCAAGGUUUUCAGUGUGAGUCGGUGCGAUUAGGCGUUUUAACUUUAAGUUUAAGCCUAAGUUUGACUUUGGUCAACAUUCUGAGUAAGCGCGCUCAGAUGAGAAUUACCUCAGUGCGGUUAGCUCCGGAAUGUCGAAUUUGGUCUACAUUGACCCUUCUUUUGUGUCCCGAGGUUUUCGAUAUCUUUUCGAGCCCUUUUGUGGGUUUUGACUUAAAAUGGCUUUUGGAAGUGGGACCCACUUUUUAUUGAGAUGACCUUUGAUGGAAAUUUUGACUGGGCCGUUGAGUCCGGAAUAUUGAAUUUGGUAUGGUUGCAUAUCACGUUUGUGUGCACAGGGUUCCGAACGAGUUCGGAGCACCCCGUCGGAGUUUUUAAGUUUGGGAAAUAUUGCAAAAAAUCUGCUAUAAAUGUAGAAAAUCAGAACAAUUUUUCAAACCUUCAAACUCUCAUAACUUUCUCAUCUUUUAUCCGAAUUAGGCGAUUCGAAGUGCAGGAGCUUCGUAUUUUCGGUGGCUUCGCUGUAGAGUGCUCGGAAGUUUCUGGGUGCACGUAGUUCGAGGUAAUUUCGCGAUUAACCUGACUGCAGUUCCUUUUUCGAGCCUUUGUUUUUGGCAUUCUUGUUUUGGUCAUAUCUCUUUCAUUUUAGCUCGGUUUUGGGUGAUUCGAAGUCCCACGUGUUGAGAAUUGUUGAGACUUUGUCAUAGAGUGUUCAAAGAGUGUUGGGAACCUUUCGAUUCUCGUUUAUUCCGAGUUUAGACUGCUGCUGUAGGUUUUCUUUUAGUUGAUUUAAAGUGUGGUUUCUUGCUUGUUGGUUUUUGCUUUGUUUUGAGCCUCGAAUUGUGUUCCAUUUUGAAACACAAGUUUGGGGUGCCGUUUAGGAUCUCUUGACGGAGUCAAAUUCGGACAGUUCGGUGCGGAUCCCACGAGUCCCGUUUUGACUCCAAAAUUGACAUGUCACCGUUUGUUGUGAUUUUGGUGUCUAAACGACCGUACUAACGUUGUGACUCUAUUUUUGAUUAGCGGGGCAGCGUUUCGAGGUCGUUCGUAUAGGGAAAGCUCCCAGUAAAAGUGAUUUUGGAAGAGCGCGUGAUCGGCCUUAAGGUAGGCUACGACUUCCUUUCUUUUAGAUUGAGCUUAAUUGUGUAAAAGCAUGUCGAUUGGAGCGAAGUUGGGGGUGGGUACCAAUUUCCUACCUUACUUUGAUUAGAUACCUCAUGUUAGGAUCGAUUGGCCAUAUUUCGGGUAUAGUAUCAUGUUAACCGGUUUAGUAAAGUUGUAUGUUUGUAUGCUAUGUGUUGUAUGUUUUGUUCAUCCUUAACCGUAAGCAUGAUGUCCUUAGUCUAGGUUAGGCUAGCAUUGUCUUAGUCUUGUGACCCGUGUGGGCUGGAUAGCCUUGACUUUCUGCCGACGUCGUUCGGAUGACUUAGCUUCCUGUAGACUUGAGUCUGAUAGUUUGAGCCUUAGAUUAGGCGUUAUUGCUUCUUGUUGUACUUAUGUAUCUUCUCCCUUUCAUUCUGCGGUUCCGAUGCAUUCUUGAAGGUCUGGUGCAUCACUAGAGGUGCGGGAUUGAGAUAGUAUAGGCUUGGAGCCUUUUAUGUGAUUCUUAGAGUGGACGGUGUUCCAUGGUGGUUGUUGUUAGAUUGGAUCCUAUUAGAGAUACCAUCACCCCUGGGGUCGUUCUUUCUAGCUGGGCUGGGAGCGUAUCGCUGGCUAGGUAGACUCGGUGAUAUCGGCAAUCGCCCCGGGCCUCUCUUUCUAGCUGGGCUGGGAGUAUGCUGCUGGCUGGGUGUUCCCGGGUCGCUCUUUCUAGCUGGGCUGGGAGCCGACUGCAUGGUAGGACGACUCGCGAUAUCUACCUCACUCACGGGUCCCUCUUUCUAGCUGGGCUGGGAGUGGACUGUUGGUUGGUGCCCCCUAAAGUCACUUUUCUAGCUGGGCUGGGAGUGCACUGCUGGCUGGAUGGAGUCUGAUGGAUUAUCUUAGUUACUUUGGGCUGGGAGCCCGAUUUUCUUCUUUCUCGGUAGACUUAGCUUUUCUGUGUACCUGUCGGGCUUAUGAGGGUCCGUUCAGGUUUUAUUUGAGCUUGCGCACGAGUGUACCUUCUGGGCAUUUGGGGGUCCAGUUAGGUUUAGUUUAAUGUACUUAGUUUGUUUCUAGUAUGCUCGUGUGCUUUCUUUUCAUAUCCACUUUGACCUCUUUGUGUCUAGAUUCUAUCCUUUCUUAUUGUUUUUACCCCUUUUUUGCUCAAUCUGCCUAUGAUGCCUACUGAGUACCUGUUGUGUUGGUACUCAUACUACGCUCUGCAUCUAUUUCGUGAUGCAGGUCCCAGUACCAAUUAUCAGCGGUGAGUAGUUCCAACCUUCUUUUGCAGUUGUGACUCGGAGACGAGGGCGAGCACUUGGCGUUUUGAGUUUGUUCUGUCUCCUUCUUUUGGUUUAGCUAGUUUUGUUGCUUUUGAGACACGCUCUGUUGUGGUCCACUUUUGGGACUUGUAUUCUUUAUUAGAUUGAUUGAUGUUCUGGGUUACGGGUUGGCUUACCUACUGGUAGGAUAUAGUAGGUGCCAUCAUGACUCGAGAAAUCGGGUCGUGACAGGAUUCUUGUGACUUUAAUUCAUAUCCAAUUUCAUUCCCACAUUAAAGAAUUGAUCCUUUCACUUAAGAGCAAAUAUAAGAAUCAUCUGAUACGACUUUACACGCAAAUGAAGAAUGGUUCGGGACUUAGCUUAGAAAUAUUUGGGGUGUUACAACUUUGUCUUAAGAUAAAAUGUUCUUGAAAUGUAGUGUAUGUACCAAAAAUACGAAUAUUAUCAAAGGAUCAUAUAUAAGCUUAAUAAAUAGUUUGAUCCCGAAAAAAAAUAAAAAAUAAAAAUAGUUUGAUCCAGUGCGAAGCACGGAUAAUUUACCUAGUUAUUAAAUAUAAUACUCCCUCUGUUUAUUUUUACUUGUAACAUUUUGAUUUGGCACAUCCAUUAAGGAAAUAAUUAAUGAUAUAUAUUUUAUCAAAUUAUCCCCUAUUAAAUGAUGUCUUAGAAAUAAUUUGAAAAAUAAGUAUUUGAUGUUAAGGGUAAAACAUAGAAAAAGUAUUAUCCUUUCUUGAUAUGUCAAAAGUGACAAAUAAAAAUGAAAAUUUAUUUUGGGAAUAAGUAACGAGUAAAAGUAAAAAUAAGAAUUAUAUAUUCCAUGAAUUAAGAUAGACAAAAUUUCUCCAAACCACAAACUAUAUACUCUCAACGCAAGAGAAAAAAUAAAAUAAAAUUGAGCCGUGGGGUAUUGUUGGGCUGUGUACAGCCCUCAAAAGAGACAAUUCAGACCAGACGUUAUUUUAUAAUAAUAAAUUCUGUCAUAAAAGGAAUUUUUGGACAAAGUAGCCUUCAUAUACAUGCCGGAUAAAAUUCUAUUUCAUUCUUAAUUAAAAGUUUUGAGUAUGAAUUCUGAAUAUGUAAAAAAAUUUGUAUUCCAAAUAAGUUCGGCCGUACAUGAUUUAUAUUAUAUUUAGUUCGAGCUCCAAUAUAAACUUCAUCGAUAAAAAACCAAAAAAGAAAGAGAUAUAUGCCCAUACCCUACUGGACCACUAUUCCCACUACAAGCAAAUUCCCUUGCCAAAAGGCUCGUAGCCUUAAUUUAGGCUUCUACCUCGUUGACUUAAAUUAUAAUUUUUUAUUAAAAAUAUUUUAUAAUUAUUUUAUAAAUAUAUCGAUGGUGAAAAAGUAAAAAAUAAUAGUAACAUUUAUAUAUGAAAAACUGUUUUUCUCAAUGAAUGAAUUCUGUGAAAAAUAAAUAGAAAUAAUUAUAUUUUAUAAUAUAAUUUUUUCAGUUAUUCAUUAUUAAAAAAAUAUUUAAGUUUAGUAGUGUGUAAUUAAAAGUGGAGAUUGUUUUACCUAAAUCCCGACAUUAUUUCAAUUUAUGCAAAAAUAAAUAAAAAUGGAGUAGUAGUGUAUUUGUGCCAGUUAGUUUUACGUCUCAUUUUUUAAUGCCCACUGCCUUAUAAGUUAGAUCUAUCAUUUUCUGUGACCAUGAUUGAAAUUUCUUAUAUUAUUAAUUAAAAGUAAGAUCCUUUUGUAGGAAGUGAUUUUACUUUUUUAGCUUAUUUAUUUAACGUAAAUUUAAAUUAAUUGAAUCAGUGAAUACAAAUACACACAAUUAAACAAAACAAAGUUAAAUUUAUCUACUUUAGUAAGUGAUAUUUCGCUUAAAAUCUUGAAAUUCAAAAGCAAACAUUGUUAAUGCGUUAUUCUAGGAUUCAGAUUAAUAAGUAUAUAUAGUCCAAAAACAAUGAUUAAAUGACCAAUUACCGACAUUUAUGGGAUCUUUACAUCAGGUUUUAUGACUAAAUACUCUUUCUGACUCAUUUUAGUUGUCCUAAUCAUUAAAAAUAACUGGUCAGUAUUGAAUCGAGAUAAUGUGUUAUAUUGUGUUGUCUUAUAUUAUUUUAAUGAUAUUUUGUAUUGUUUUUCAUCGUUAUAUAAUAUCAUACAUUGACGAAUUGAAUGAUAGAUCUAAAAAGAAAAUAGGGUUCGAGGUAGAGAUACUUACUAUAUACGAAAAAGUAGGGUAAAAGAUAAAAUAAGAUUAUUAAAUAAUAAGUAAAGACAAAUUAAAAUACGUAGAAAAUAUAAAGAUAACGCUACAAUCACAUAAAAUUGAGUGGUAUAUCUAAUGAAAACAUUAUAUUUAAACUAAUAAUACAAUACAACAUGUAACAACCAUCCAAACAAGGUGUUGGUUAGUAAUAUUUUCAACGUAUUAAAAAAAAUAUGAAAAGUAAAAUGGACAGGAGGAAGUAUCUAGGUGGUACUAAGUUACUAAUUAAUUAAUGAGGACCCUUAAUUUAAUGGUCAAUCUUGACUAGCUAGUCAAUGGUUUUGAACAUUGACUAGCUAGUGUCAAUGUUCAAAUAUACUCUUUAUCAUAAUUCAUAUCAUAUUAAGUUUAAGAUCAUCAUAAUCAUCUUAUAAAUACUUAGUGCAGCUAAUUCAUUAAUAUAAAAAAGUUGGUCCUUCUUAUUAUUCAUUUCUCCCUCUAUGGCAACUCAACAACUUGAGUCCAAAUGGGAAGGCAAAUUCAUUGCAAAUCUAAAACAUCCCAAAGCUGAACAAGUAUGGCCACUCCUUGAAGAUUUCUGCAACUUCCACCAUUGGCUACCAAACAUUGACGCAUGUCACCAAAUGAAUAGUGAUAAUAAAGAUGAAAUUAUCCGCUAUUGCGCUAGCAGUACCAAGCCCCCAUCGUCAUCAGACGAUGGAGAAGCGAUCGUCAAGUGGUGUCACGAGAAGUUGUUGACA
rnacentral:lncRNA from 1 species